UACGAAGGGGGCUAGCGUUGUUCGGAAUUACUGGGCGUAAAGCGCGCGCAGGCGGCUCUUCAAGUCAGGGGUGAAAGCCCAAGGCUCAACCUUGGAAUUGCCUUUGAAACUGUAGAGCUUGAGUACGGGAGAGGUGAGUGGAAUUCCCAGUGUAGAGGUGAAAUUCGUAGAUAUUGGGAAGAACACCGGUGGCGAAGGCGGCUCACUGGCCCGUUUCUGACGCUCAGGCGCGACAGCGUGGGGAUCAAACAGG
rnacentral:ncRNA from 2 species